rnacentral:rRNA from 1 species
UACGUAGGGUGCGAGCGUUAAUCGGAAUUACUGGGCGUAAAGUGUGCGCAGGCGGCAGCGCAAGUCGAGUGUGAAAGCCCCGGGCUUAACUUGGGAAUUGCGCUCGAAACUACUUUGCUGGAGUGUGGCAGAGGAAGGUGGAAUUCCACGUGUAGCGGUGAAAUGCGUAGAGAUGUGGAGGAACACCAAUGGCGAAGGCAGCCUUCUGGGCCAACACUGACGCUCAUGCACGAAAGCGUGGGGAGCAAACAGG